ACCAGGCUGACUUCCCCAGUACUGUACCGUCUAGCCCAUUCCGUACGCCCAGCGUUGACAUGGGUGUUUGCCCCGGAAGUGAUACCCGAGGAGAGACACGUGUCGUACUGUCUGUGCACCAGGCAGCAUGCAUUAAAGGCAUUACGCUCAGAAAAUUUUAUACGUGAGCCUCACAACAAGCCCAGGAGACAGGCAUCAACAUUCUCGCGACGUUUCACGCGAGGAAGUGUCAUCUGAUCUGAUUUUCCUAGUAAGAGUAUGAACUCUGGAGCCAGACGGCAUCUCUAGCUCGGCUAUGAACCAUCUGUGAGGACUCAGG